UUCCAGACUCCUACGGGAGGCAGCAGUGAGGAAUAUUGGUCAAUGGGCGCGAGCCUGAACCAGCCAAGUAGCGUGAAGGAUGACUGCCCUACGGGUUGUAAACUUCUUUUAUAAAGGAAUAAAGUGAGGCACGUGUGCCUUUUUGUAUGUACUUUAUGAAUAAGGAUCGGCUAACUCCGUGCCAGCAGCCGCGGUAAUACGGAGGAUCCGAGCGUUAUCCGGAUUUAUUGGGUUUAAAGGGAGCGUAGAUGGGUUGUUAAGUCAGUUGUGAAAGUUUGUGGCUCAACCAUAAAAUUGCCGUUGAAACUGGUUGACUUGAGUAUAUUUGAGGUAGGCGGAAUGCGUGGUGUAGCGGUGAAAUGCAUAGAUAUCACUCAGAACUCCGAUUGCGAAGGCAGCUUACUAAACUGCCACUGACAUUGAUGCUCGAAAGUGUGGGUAUCAAACAGGAUUAGAUACCCGAGUAACC
rnacentral:rRNA from 1 species